CGACGCGGCCGCACGUGGCUCAGGAUGGUGCGAGAACACGUGGGAUGCUGUCCUGUAACACUGGGAUAACUCCGGGAAACCGGACUAAUACCGGAUAGUUCCUUGAACCGCAUGGUUCAAGGAUGAAAGACGGUUUCGGCUGUCACUUACAGAUGGACCCGCGGCGCAUUAGCUAGUUGGUGAGGUAACGGCUCACCAAGGCGACGAUGCGUAGCCGACCUGAGAGGGUGAUCGGCCACACUGGGACUGAGACACGGCCCAGACUCCUACGGGAGGCAGCAGUAGGGAAUCUUCCGCAAUGGACGAAAGUCUGACGGAGCAACGCCGCGUGAGUGAUGAAGGUUUUCGGAUCGUAAAGCUCUGUUGUUAGGGAAGAACAAGUGCAAGAGUAACUGCUUGCACCUUGACGGUACCUAACCAGAAAGCCACGGCUAACUACGUGCCAGCAGCCGCGGUAAUACGUAGGUGGCAAGCGUUGUCCGGAAUUAUUGGGCGUAAAGGGCUCGCAGGCGGUUUCUUAAGUCUGAUGUGAAAGCCCCCGGCUCAACCGGGGAGGGUCAUUGGAAACUGGGAAACUUGAGUGCAGAAGAGGAGAGUGGAAUUCCACGUGUAGCGGUGAAAUGCGUAGAGAUGUGGAGGAACACCAGUGGCGAAGGCGACUCUCUGGUCUGUAACUGACGCUGAGGAGCGAAAGCGUGGGGAGCGAACAGGAUUAGAUACCCUGGUAGUGCACGCCGUAAACGAUGAGUGCUAAGUGUUAGGGGGUUUCCGCCCCUUAGUGCUGCAGCUAACGCAUUUAAGCACUCCGCCUGGGGAGUACGGUCGCAAGACUGAAACUCAAAGGAAUUGACGGGGGCCCGCACAAGCGGUGGAGCAUGUGGUUUAAUUCGAAGCAACGCGAAGAACCUUACCAGGUCUUGACAUCCUCUGACAACCCUAGAGAUAGGGCUUUCCCUUCGGGGACAGAGUGACAGGUGGUGCAUGGUUGUCGUCAGCUCGUGUCGUGAGAUGUUGGGUUAAGUCCCGCAACGAGCGCAACCCUUGAUCUUAGUUGCCAGCAUUCAGUUGGGCACUCUAAGGUGACUGCCGGUGACAAACCGGAGGAAGGUGGGGAUGACGUCAAAUCAUCAUGCCCCUUAUGACCUGGGCUACACACGUGCUACAAUGGACAGAACAAAGGGCUGCGAGACCGCAAGGUUUAGCCAAUCCCACAAAUCUGUUCUCAGUUCGGAUCGCAGUCUGCAACUCGACUGCGUGAAGCUGGAAUCGCUAGUAAUCGCGGAUCGUCAUGGCGUCGUGACGACGUGGCCGUGCCAACGUCACAUCAGGUCGUUGUAACAUCAGCAA
rnacentral:rRNA from 1 species